rnacentral:rRNA from 1 species
GUAGGGAAUAUUGGGCAAUGGUCGGAAGACUGACCCAGCCAUGCCGCGUGCAGGAAGACGGCCCUCUGGGUUGUAAACUGCUUUUAUCUGGAAGAAAAAGGCCAUGCGUGGCAAAUUGCCGGUACCAGAUGAAUAAGCACCGGCUAACUCCGUGCCAGCAGACGCGGUAAUACGGAGGGUGCGAGCGUUGGCCGGAGUUAUUGGGUUUAAAGGGUGCGUAGGCGGCUGAUUAAGUCAGCGGUGAAAGACUUCGGCUUAACCGGAGCAGUGCCGUUGAUACUGGUUGGCUUGAGUGUCGGAGGGGUACAUGGAAUUGAUGGUGUAGCGGUGAAAUGCAUAGAUACCAUCAGGAACACCGAUAGCGAAGGCAUUGUACUGGCCGACAACUGACGCUGAUGCACGAAAGUGUGGGGAUCGAACAGGAUUAGAAACCCUGGUAGUCC